GUGCAGCCAAAUCGAAGAAUGAAAUUCUGCUUUCUUCCCCUUGGGGGCCCAGUGUGCAACGGCUGAAAAUAGCAGCCUCCUCAGUAGUGUACGCAGCCUGUUGCCUGUACGGGUUGCCCUCAGGGACCUUGGAGACAGCC